CCCUUAGAUGUUCUGGGCCGCACGCGCGCUACACUGACGAAUGCAACGAGCUUAUAACCUUGGCCGAAAGGUCUGGGUAAUCUCCAAAUUUCGUCGUGAUGGGGAUAGAUUAUUGCAAUUAUUAAUCUUCAACGAGGAAUGCCUAGUAAGCGCAAGUCAUCAGCUUGCGUUGAUUACGUCCCUGCCCUUUGUUCACACCGCCCGUCGCUCCUACCGAUUGAAUGGUCCGGUGAAGCGUUCGGACCGUGGCCUUUGGACGGUUCGCCGUCUGUUGGCUGCGGGAAGUUCGUUAAACCUUAUCAUUUAGAGGAAGGAGAAGUCGUAACA
rnacentral:rRNA from 1 species